rnacentral:tRNA from 1 species
GUGGGCGUGCCGGAGUGGUUAUUGGGCAUGACUAGAAAUCAUGUGGGCUUUGCCCGCGCAGGUUCGAAUCCUGCCACUCACG